AGAGCUAGAUGAUUAGCACAGUAAAUCACUGCCUGAGUAAUGCUGCAUAAACAUACAGCGCUUACGAAUUACCCAGGAACAGUAUCAGGGAUGGAAUACACAACUGAGGCUACGAUUCCACCACUUUUCAGAUUUAAGGAAGGAAUAAUCCCUGCCAGCUUCACCUCCCCAAACAUUGGAGGCCCAAUCUGUACUAAGAACCUCCACGCCUUUGAGAUUCAUAGAAGAACAGGUUUCUUAUCCAGAAGAACCAUGCCUUCACUAGGUAAGCCAAAAGAUUUCACUUGGUAACUUAGAAAGCCACCAUAUGAAGAAAGCUGGAACAAAAUGCACAUAAUCAGAAAUACUCUACGGUGUUAUUGCUUGAUAUUAAUAUAAUUUGUAUUCAAAUUUACCGCCCCUCAAGAAUUGUAAGUAAUAUAUACUUUUUUGGUUCUUUAAGCCAAAUGUGAGAAUACAUGUUGUUUGGGUUGAAAAUAUUAUUUGAUUUGUUUACUUUGUGUAUUUGACAUUACUUUGAGUAAUGUCUGAUGGUGUUCUUUGGAUAGUUACCAGUGCCAUUUUAUUUCUAUACCUUGAUUCACGCCAUCUGCGUUGUGGAAAAAAAUCACAAUCACAUAAAUGCUGUUCUUCCCCAGACUACAGACCAAAUCUGGCUCAUCAAGAGCAGACAUCAGACUGAUAAUUAAAUUGGUAGUUUAUACCCAAUGAACAGCCAUGGAUAAGGCAAACUAAUGUUUGAAUAUGAGUCUCAUUGGCUAACUCAUUUUCCUAACUUGCUACAGAUAUGAAUCUGAACAGGAAAUCUUUGUUCCACUUUGUAGAUGAUACAAUUUCUACUGGCAUCAGCUCAAUUGUAAGAAGAUGAUAACAGACCAUUGUUGCAGGCUGAGCUGAAACCACCUGUCUUUUGGCUUAGCUAUAGAUGACCUCAAAAGGCGUCAAACCAAACCAGAUUAACAUUCCACUGCAUAAAACGAAGACUUAGGCAAGCAUGUUUGAAUCAUCUGUCAAACAGCUUCUCUGGAUUGUAUGAUAAAUUCUGUUUACGAUAUAGAGACAAAUGAUGCUCCAGGCAGAGCCUGAACACUCUUGUUCCAAGAAGAGCUUGCUAUAAAGUUUCAUGGGUUCUAGGUGAAACACAAACCUUGGAGGAGCUAGUAAAGUCUUCUUAUGUCUUGAUCUCUCCAACACCCAUGUAGGAGACUUUGCAGUCUUUGUGAUGGAGAAUAUUGCAUUAAAGAAUCUCCUUUUUCCUUUACCAACAUCUCCCUCUCAUGCAGCAAUUGCUAACACUUUAAAUUUCCCUUUCCCUCUUAUGAUUUUGGGAAAAGAUCAUAUAAUCAAAUCCACUAGAUAAAUAUGAGAGAAUUUUAUGCCUGAAGUGUAUACAGGCAAUUUACUAACUUCCCUUUGGAAGUGUGCUCUCCAUAAAGAAUUAAGGAUAAAAAUUUUCCAGCCACUUUGAAAGGGAAUGAUCAAAAUCAGAAGCAGCACUUACCAGAAUUGAAAAAUACUUUGCUAACUCUUGAUUUUGGCAAAUAAACUACACUACAAGCUAUAAGUGAAAUAUGUGAAAUUUAACUCUCAGUUCCAGGCACGUGAGAAGUUCAUUCUUGAAGAAAAAAUGAACAGAUACAUGCCACAGAUACAGUACUUUGUUUUCAACCCUUUCCUGCUUGCUUUUAUAACUUGUGUUUGUUUUGACGUGUGAAGAAUCGCUUUGUCAGGUUAUAGCGUUCUGCAGGUAGACAACAGCAUUUGCCCUAUUUGUUUCUAUACAUCUUGAUGAAUUACAGACAAAACAGACACGGCGUGCCUGGUUUGAUACUGUGAUACAGAGUAUAAAAAAAAUCAUACCACCAUUCUUAGUGGCUGUUGUUAAAAGCAAUAAUAGAUUGAUUUACAUUUUGUAACCGGAACAAGAAGUUUGUUUGGAUUAGCAUUAUAGUAGAUGAAAACUGUUUUCAGACAUUGCAGCAAGAAGCUUUACAAUGUAAACAUAAAGCACACUGGGCAGUUCAACUGAAAGGUAUUUAUACCUAAGCUCAGGAGAACAGGAUGAAAAACAUUGGUGUAGUCCUUAAAAUGGGGACUAAAGAGGAACUUGAAAUAUUGUUCCCUAUUUAAUACUAUUGUGCCUAUCUCAUUGUUUUCUCACAUGUGAUAUCAGGACUGCAUCUGAAAAACCUACAACUGGUUAGCAACUGUAAACUCUUUCCGUUGUGCACUGUUGCACAAAGAAGGAAGCCAGGACUUUGGGCCUUUGAGCCACCAGCAGCAAAUAAUCCUGGUACUGGUCUGAAAUGCUGAUACUUAUUAACAGUGAGCAAGGGUCUGCCUCUAUCCCUGAGCAGAAAGAGAAGCAAGCAGUAGAAAGAAUACAAAGAUGAAAAACCAGGUGUUGUGCUUCCCUCCAUGGAAACAGACAGGGACAACAAAUGUACAGUUCAUGAGCGAGAAAUGUAGCACUGAUGUAAUGCAACAACCAAGUAACACAACUUUCAACCUUUCAAUCCUUGUCAAGAGCCUUUCCACCAACAUAUUAAAAGUGAAGGGUUUUUUCUUUUUUUUUUUUUCUUGUUUUCUUCUUGUUGGCUGCUGAGUAUUUUAUUCUUUGCUGAGCUUUUAUUCUUUUGGAAGUCUGCCCAAGGGGAGGAUUACUCUAGGGCAUGGGUGUCCAACAUUCUGGCUUGCCUAGGCUGCACUGAGUGAAGGGGAAUUGUCUUGAGCCAUGUAGAAAAUAUAAUAUAGUUAAUUUACAUGAGUAGCAAAUUUUUAUUAUUAUUAUUAUUAUUAAAAUAAAAAAAAAGUGGGCAACAAAGACAUAAAAUUAGUGGGUUGGUAUGCUCUAGAGAAUCUACAAUAUACUAUGGCACAUUGGCAAGCUCUGUGCAUACUGAGCUUCAGGGAAGUACCUUAAGGUACCAGCUCUCUAAACCAUAGUUCCUGAUCAUGCUUUUCACAACCUUCUACUCAGAAGUUACAUGUUAUGAUUCCUGGCAUUUCAGGAAAGGCAGAAAAUAAUCUAGUGAGGGAAGAGAAAUAAGAGUAUCUAAGGAAUACAAAGAGACUCAAAAUCAACAGUGUUGAUGCGCGCGCGUGCAUACACACACACACACACACACACACACACACAACUAAAGAACAGUUUAUUAAAACAGUGGAGUUGUGUUAUUUACCUUCUCU